rnacentral:rRNA from 1 species
AAAUUGCCCUGAUGUGGGGGAUAACCAUUGGAAACGAUGGCUAAUACCGCAUAAUAGCUUCGGCUCAAAGAGGGGGACCUUCGGGCCUCUCGCGUCAGGAUAUGCCCAGGUGGGAUUAGCUAGUUGGUGAGGUAAUGGCUCACCAAGGCGACGAUCCCUAGCUGGUCUGAGAGGAUGAUCAGCCACACUGGAACUGAGACACGGUCCAGACUCCUACGGGAGGCAGCAGUGGGGAAUAUUGCACAAUGGGCGCAAGCCUGAUGCAGCCAUGCCGCGUGUAUGAAGAAGGCCUUCGGGUUGUAAAGUACUUUCAGCAGUGAGGAAGGCGGAGUCGUUAAUAGCGGCCUCGUUUGACGUUAGCUGCAGAAGAAGCACCGGCUAACUCCGUGCCAGCAGCCGCGGUAAUACGGAGGGUGCGAGCGU